GGGGGGGGGGGGGGGGGGGGGGGGGGCGGGCGGGGGGGGCGGGGGGGGGGGGGGCGUGGGGGGGGGGGGGGAGCGGCGAACGGGGGGGGAACGGGUGGGGCCUCGGCCUUUGAGCGGGGGACAACGGUUGGCAACGGGCGCUAAGACCGCAGCAGGUCUUUCCACCCCAUGUUUAAUGUUGCAAGUUGACAUUGCGUCACCCACAGACUAUCCCGCGUUGUAUUAGCUACGUGGUGAGUUAAACGCUCACCAAGGCGAUGACACAUAGCCGAACUGAGAGGGUGAUCGGACACAGUGGGACUGAGACACGGCCCAGAGUCCUACGGGAGGCAGCCGUAGGGAAUCUUCAGCAAUGGACGAAAGUCUGACCGAGCAACGCCGCGUGAGUGAAGAAGGUUUUCGGGUCGUAAAACUCUGUUUGUAGGGAAGAACGUUUUGGAGAAUGGAAAGCUCAUCAAGUGACGGUAACUACCCAGAAAGGGACGGCUAACUACGUG
rnacentral:rRNA from 1 species